rnacentral:rRNA from 1 species
GUCCAUGCCGUAAACGAUGAUUACUAGGUGUUGGAGGAUUGACCCCUUCAGUGCCGCAGUUAACACAAUAAGUAAUCCACCUGGGGAGUACGACCGCAAGGUUGAAACUCAAAGGAAUUGACGGGGCCCGCACAAGCAGUGGAGUAUGUGGUUUAAUUCGAAGCAACGCGAAGAACCUUACCAGGUCUUGACAUCCGAUGCAUAGUGCAGAGAUGCAUGAAGUCCUUCGGGACAUCGAGACAGGUGGUGCAUGGUUGUCGU